rnacentral:tRNA from 1 species
GGGGAUGUAACUUAAAGGUUAGAGUUUUAAUUUGUCACGUUAAAUGUUGUGGGUUCGAGUCCCAUCAUCCUCG